AAAGUUUUAAGUUAAUUAAAACUAUUAACCUUCAAAGUUAAAUAUAUAUAUAGAUAUAAGCUUUA
rnacentral:tRNA from 1 species